GGCUGAUUUCUGGGUGGUGUGACUUAAAGGGGAAGGCAUCUAGGGUUGGAUAGACAGGUGGACAGACAGGCAAACACACAUAGACGCCUCCCUCCAAAUGCAGGAAGGCCUGGGCCCCAUGUUGGCCAAAGCCACUGCUGUCAAGUUCUCACCCUGCAGGCCGAGAGUGCAAGUUGCUCCCAGGCUCUAGAGCCCGGAGGAGGCUCUGGCUGGGGAACCCUGUGGCUGCUCAGUGCCCACCCCACCUCCUCAUUCUGUCUGGCCCCCACUUUCAGGACCCUCGAAAGAGAGGGAAAGGUUGGGCGCAGUGGCUCACGCCUGUAAUCCUGGCACUUUGGGAGGCUGAGGUGUGAUCACCUGAGGUCAGGAGUUCGAGAAGAGCCUGGGCAACUUGUGAAACCCCAUCUCUACCAAAAAAAAAAAAAAAAAAAAAAAAAAAAAAAUCAGCUGGGUGCAGUAGCAUGCGCCUGUGGUCCCAAUUACUUGGGAAGCUGAGGUGGGAGGAUUGCUUGAACCUGGGAUGCAGAGGUUACAGUGAGCUGAGAUUGCACCACUGCACUUCAGCUGAGGCAACGGAGCGAGACCCUGUCUUAAAGAAAAAAAAAAAUGAAAAACAAAAACAAAAAAAAGAGAGACAAGGAAAGUUAAAAUUCCCCUUCUGUCCUAAUUCCCUCUUUUCUGCCCAGUUCUCUCCCCCACCAAACCUGUUUCUACAGGCGGAAUCCAAGCAGCCAGUAGUGGUGGUGGUGUGUUUUUUGAAUACCCACCUGGGGCCAGGCUCUGUGCUAGGUUCUUUGUACAUGUGAUCAUCUUGAUUCUUUGCCACAAAAAGAUAUUGGUCUGGGCUGGAGGUCAACGAAAUUGUUCUGUAAAGAGCCAGAUAGAAAUAUUUCAGGCUUUGUGGGCCCUGUGGUCUCUGUUGCAACUAUUCAGCCCUGUUGCUGAAGUGCAAAGCAGCCAUGGACAAGAGGUAAACACAUGGGUCUGGCUGUGUUCCAGUUAAAACUUGAAUUACAUAUUACAAAAAUAGAUGGCAGGCCAGAUUUGGGGUGGAGGCCGUCAUAGGCUGACUCCUGGUUUGGUUUCCUUGUUGUUUCUGAGAGCUGGCAAGAGGCCUUCUAUAGGCUUAAUGGAAUGAUGGUUGUCUUUUUAUCCCUUCUGGGGUAGAAUAGCAGUUACGAGUAUGGGUUCUGAGUCCUUCUCGCUGAGUUUGAAUCCAGCUGUUGAGUACUAGUUUGGGCAAAGCACUUACCAUUCUAUGCUUCAAUUUCCAUGUUAAAAAAUAGAGGUGAUAACUGUGUGCACCUCACAGGGCGGUUGUGAUGAUUAAAUGAGAUGCCAUUACAGCAAGUGCUUAACCCUGCACCUGGCAUAGAGUAACUGUUCAGUCAAUAAGAUCGAUUUUUUUUUUCUUUUUUUCUUUUCUUUUUUUUUGAGAUGGAGUCUUGCUCUGUCGCCCAGGCUAGAGUGCAAUGGCAGGAUCUUGGCUCACGGGAGCCUCCACCUCCCGAGUUCGAGCAAUUCCCCUGCUCAGCCUCCCGAGUAGCUGGGAUUACAGGCACCUGCCAUCAUGCCCGGCUAAUUUGUGUAUUUUGGUAGAGAUAGGGUUUCAAUACUUUGGCCAGGCUGGUCUUGAACUCAUGACCUCAGGUGAUCCUCCCUCCCCAACCUCCCAAAGUGCAGGGAUUAUGGGCAUGAGCCACCGCGCCCAACCCGAUUGGUUAUUUUUAUUGCAUUUACUGCGGAUGUCCUUCGAGCUGAGUGGAGGUGUUGCUCUGAGACAAUGAAAUUAUGGACGUCUUUUCCCACUCGGAGAAAACCUUUCAAUGAAGGCAUAUGGUUUCUCCAUAGCAGUGUUCCCCACAUAGGGCCCUAGCCCUUCUAAGUGCCAGCCUCCAUCAGGCAGGUGGAAGGAGCCUGUAUUAACAGACACUGUGCAGUGGCUGCUUACACUCUGCUUUGAGAGUUUGCUUUCAUUUGCAGGAAUAAGUGCUUAUGGUUGUGAGCUGAUAGUCAUUCAUCGAACAUUAUCUCAUUCGUGAGUAGAGGAAGUUUUUUUCUGGUUAAAAUAGGCCUGGAAUCAUCUAACACCUAUAGGGCUAGAACUCUGUAAUCAAAUAUUAAUGCAGUAAUGUUUUCACAGCAAAAGGCAUCCUUAUUGGUAUUAAGAGGGGUUUAAGAAAAUGAUUGCAGGCAGCAUUCGUUCGAAUGGUUCAGAUUUUGCCGUCAGUUAUGUUUUGAUACCAACUUACUAGGUAGUCUUUGUUCUAAAAGCUUUUUAGCUGUUGUUUUCUAGUAAGGGUGUGUGGAUCAGGAUCGGGGAGUGAGCUGGGUCCACGCUUUCCAGGAGUCAUGAGGCUAUGAUUGACCUGAGCUGGAGCAUGGUUAAGGAUUUUAUUUUUCACAUUGUCAGUGUAUUUUCACAUUUACCUUCAUUUCUAUUGAGUGACGUGAUUUCCUAUUUAUGGAAGUGACAUAGCUGUCUUUAGAAUAAUUUUGUUUCAUAGUAAAUGCCAUGCAUAAGCCUCAGAUGGAUUCUUGGUGGGAAAAACCCCAUCUAUACAGUGUAUUUCUUGGAUAACUGGGGAAAUUUGAGUAUGUCUAAUGAUCAGUAUGUCUAAUGAUCAUUAUUUAAAGAUAGUUUCCUGAGGUGAUAUGGUGUGGUGAUGUCGGGGGAUGUUCUUAAGACAUACCUGUGGGGGAUGUCUGCGCCUCAUUUCAGAUGGUUCAGGAGGAAAUGUAAAUAUGUGUAUAAAUGAAAUAUAAAUAUAGGCUGGGCACAGUGGCUCAUGCCUAUAAUCUCAGCACUUUCGGAGGCUGAGGUGGGUGGAUCAACUGAAUUCAGGAGUUUGAGACCAGCCUGGCCAACAUGGUGAAACCCUAUCUUUACUAAAAAUACAAAAAAUUAGCUGGGCAUGCUGGCAGACACCUGUAAUCUCAGCUACUCAGGAGGCGAGGCAGGAGAAUUGCUUGAACUUGGGAGUUGGAGGUUGCAAUGAGCUGAGGUUGCGCCAUUGCACUCCAGCCUGGGCAAUGAGUGAAACUCCAUCUGCAAAAGAAAAAUAAAUAAA